UUUAACUUUUUUUAUUUAAAUAAGGAGAAUUCUUUCAUAUGGAAAGAGCUAGUACAAUCACAUAUUUGAAAGGAGAAACAAUAGGUACUGAACCGGAGGGAAAGGGCGAGGGUGAGUGUGCCAGCACCGGCCUGGUGAAUCCACAAUUCCAUUCCCCAUCCAAGGUAAGUUUCCCGAAAUUAUACUGUAUAAACACGCUGCACAUUACACCUCUAGCCAUCGUCUGCCCUUUCAAAUAUCUGGUCUACAUGAAAAGACAAAGAGGAAAGGCCAAAACAUAAACAAAAGGAAACAAAAACAAAACGCAACCCUCUUUAAGAACCAAACAAAAAACCCCCAAAUCCUUUUUUACUACACAAGGCAUGAGGUCAAAAGCUUGAGUACAGCGUCCCCUUUAGACCAUGGGAGAAAGGCGUCCACACAGAACCUUAGCAGGAAUUUCCACUCCGAGGUUUCAGAACAUGCUGGAGAUGGGGCUCUGGGGGUGCCACUACCAUCCUGGAGGCCACCAACUGGGGUGAACUGGUGAACAGCAGGUCUCAUGUGCCUGAAGAUCCCCAGCCCAACAGGCACUGGUGGCACUGGUGGCCCUGGUGGAGCAUGGCUGGGCCAGUGUCCAUCCCCAACACUGAGCCACUUCUGUCCUGGAUGACUUCCUGUGUAGGUCCGUCACAUUUCAGAGGAGAGCUGGCUUUCUGGAAGCCUACAUUCCCAUUCACGACAGAGCACACAUAUCCUGGUAUCAUUGGUCUUCAAAGGCCAUUUCCAACAGACCCUCUAA